rnacentral:rRNA from 1 species
GCGAAAGCCUGACGGAGCAAUGCCGCGUGAGUGAAGAAGGCCUUCGGGUCGUAAAACUCUGUUAUAAGAGAAGAACAAAUUGUAGAGUAACUGCUACAGUCUUGACGGUAUCUUAUCAGAAAGCCACGGCUAACUACGUGCCAGCAGCCGCGGUAAUACGUAGGUGGCAAGCGUUAUCCGGAAUUAUUGGGCGUAAAGCGCGCGUAGGCGGUUUCUUAAGUCUGAUGCGAAAGCCCACGGCUCAACCGUGGAGGGUCAUUGGAAACUGGGAAACUUGAGUACAGAAGAGGAAAGUGGGAUUCCGUGUGUAGCGGUGAAAUGCGCAGAGAUAUGGAGGAACACCAGUGGCGAAGGCGACUUUCUGGUCUGUAACUGACGCUGAUGUGCGAAAGCGUGGGGAUCAAACGGGAUUAGAUACCCUGGUAGUCCACGCCGUAAACGAUGAGUGCUAAGUGUUAGGGGGUUUCCGCCCCUUAGUGCUGCAGCUAACGCAUUAAGCACUCCGCCUGGGGAGUACGACCGCAAGGUUGAAACUCAAAGGAAUUGACGG